rnacentral:ncRNA from 1 species
UGCUAGCCUCGGUGGCAACCCGACGAGACGCGCCGUACCGGGUCAGGACAAGACGACGCACC